rnacentral:rRNA from 1 species
UACGUAGGGUGCGAGCGUUGCCCGGAUUUAUUGGGCGUAAAGGGCGCGUAGGCGGCCACGCACGUCCGUUGUGAAAUCGCCCGGCUCAACUGGGCGGGGUCAGCGGAUACGGCGUGGCUGGAGCAAGCUAGGGGGCAAUGGAAUUCCCGGUGUAGUGGUGGAAUGCGUAGAUAUCGGGAGGAACACCAGUGGCGAAGGCGGUUGCCUGGAGCUUUGCUGACGCUGAUGCGCGAAAGUGUGGGGAUCAAACAGG